CGUAAAACGCCGAGACAUGCUGCGCUGUAGCUAUAAAAACUGGCCGUAAACGUAGGAAGUUCCUCAAUCGUGGCGUGUCUGCAAGAAGACGUCAACCACGAUGCGGCUAAGAAAAGAAAUGAAUUGUUCCCGCCGACCACCAAAAGCCCAUCUUUGGACAAUGGAAUAAAGCCUGCAUAAUGUGUUCGCACUUAAUGCUGGCUCCAGGGGAAAAUGACUAGGUCCGUGUACAUCGGCUUCCAAAGGCCAAUGUAGGGGUGUUCUGUAUCACUAAAAUGUUGGGGCACUUCAUGUCGCUUUCAAAUGGUUGAUGUGUAUCCUGAAGUCUUUGGAGCACUUUCCAAUGGUUGGCGUGCACCCUGAUGUCUUUUCAAAGGGUGUGAUCUUAAGACUGUCCAGCAGAGGGAGCUCGUUACUCACUCAUGGCUGAGUUGAGUGGCACUCUUGAAGAUCCUGGAUGAAGAUGCAAGUUGAAGAUCCUGAGUAAAGAGCAAAGUCGAUGUUCUCCGGAUUGCAUGUCCUCACAGCUCGGUGGUGCAGCUCAAAACCGAAUGAACUCUGGUGCAUCGGAACUUUGACCUCCUAUGGGUUCUGGAAAUGGUACUUCCAGAUGAAUGCUUGACCGCUACUCCAGACAAGCGUGGCGCGUCAUCCACACCGUCACUGUACCCGCGUGCCGUGCCCAUGGGAUGUUUGUGCAGCAUAUGAAAAUGCCCUCCUGCUGAUGUGUUGAAUGUAAAGCGUGUGUAAGGUAUUUGUUCCUCACGUGUGCCCUGUGUCUUCCAUGUAACACUUAUUAAACAUUAAAAGCUCUGCAUCACA